UGCCAGACUCCUACGGGAGGCAGCAGUGGGGAAUAUUGCACAAUGGGCGCAAGCCUGAUGCAGCCAUGCCGCGUGUAUGAAGAAGGCCUUCGGGUUGUAAAGUACUUUCAGCGGGGAGGAAGGUGUUGUGGUUAAUAACCACAGCAAUUGACGUUACCCGCAGAAGAAGCACCGGCUAACUCCGUGCCAGCAGCCGCGGUAAUACGUAGGCUGCAAGCGUUAAUCGGAAUUACGGGGCGUAAAGCGCACGCAGGGGGUAUGUCAAGUCGGAGGUGAAAUCCCCGGGCUCAACCUGGGAACUGCAUUCGAAACUGGCAGGCUGGAGUCUUGUAGAGGGGGGGAGAAUUCGAGGUGUAGCGGUGAAAUGUGUAGAGAUCUGGAGGAAUACCGGGGGCGAAGGCG
rnacentral:rRNA from 1 species